GAAACUCUAGAAACUCAUCUCUCUUUCCCCUGUCUCGGAAUCUCACAACCAAACUAUGGGGAGGGAAGAGGACAGCUAACUGGUGGCCACGAUACAGCCAGUACUUCUACUCCUGCUACUGGCAGCCAUGUCCUCACCAGUGUUUGGGACUGAGAAAUCAGUACUGGAGGGAACCUCUGUGACCCUUAUCUGCAGAUGCCUUGGGGAUAUAAAGCUUGAGACACGCUAGGGAGGAACUUGUGGAACUUUUCAGUGUAAUGAUCCCAUAAUGGAAGAUCAAUCCAAAUAAAAAAUGAACGCUGAAGUUGGAACAAUGAAACUCACCACUUUAAAACGACAGCCAACAGACAGUGGGAGCUACUGCUGCAGAGUCUAUGUCCCUGGAUGGUUCAAUGAUCUUAAACAAUCCUACAGCGUGAGGGUAGUUAAAGGUUGUGAGAGGGACCUACGGGACAAUGUCAAUAUUCUGGGAAACGAUAUUGCUACUCAGCCAUUUACAACCAAAAAUGCAAGUCAGUGCAGACAGGAAUGCACCAAAAAUGACACGUGUCAGUACUUCACAUUUGUUGGGGGAAAGGUAGAAAAAAUAGACAGGUACAUGCUCAUGAAGCUUAUUUUUUAUGCUUGGGCAAACAAAGGCAGCAAUAUAAGUUUUAGAUCCGCACCAUUCUGAUAACUACUAUGAGAUUCUUUGUGAUAUUUAACAAGUGUUUCUUAAAGGCCUCGAAUGGUGAUACACCUGAAAUUACAAUACUGCACCUCCAACAUGCAACCUCAGGGUACUCUCUGAGACACUGCAGUGGUAAAGGCGAGUACAUACAGUUAAUGUAUAUUUGAGUUGUCAUUUAUUUUGUCAAUUGAAUAUCUAGUCAAUAUCUAAUAAUUACAGAGGUAGACUUUACUAAUAGGGCCUCUUAAACAGGAUUACAUAGACAUGGAUAUCUACCUCUGUCAUGUUGUGUUUCUGUUUAUUCCAUCAUCUCUGUUGAAGGUGUAGCUUAGUUACAUCAAGGUCAUCAAUCAAGCAUCAGAGCUCUUUAAAGAGGGCCUUUGCAGACCAAUUUCCUGUGAACUCUAUAUUCUGUAGUCUAUUAUAAAGUACUAUACAGUACUGUCACUACUAUGUAUUUGUAAGGUUCCUUGUGUUCUUUUUCUUUGUGUUCCUGAACGUAGCCCUGUUUCUUUGUGUUCCUGAACGUAGCCCUGUUUCUUUGUGUUCUGGAACGUAGCCUGUCUUUCAUUUUUGUUAAUUGAUUUCGCCUGUGUUCGUUUCUCAACUGGUCUCAUCAGCUCCCGAUUUAGUUCAGUUCUUUCUGUUUGUAUGCUUGUGAGGUAUUGUUUGUUUUUGACAUGCCUACCUGUGUUUGACCAUUGCCUGCCUGUGACCACGAUUCCUACCUUCUGCGAAGGCUUUAUAAACAUCUGCCGCGCUCUGCGAGUGAAUCUAAACCUUUUUCUCCAUGAGUGUUCAUUACAGUAUUCACUAUUAGUCAUUGAUGCACAGGACACGUCCAUAUUCAUGAGAUAAAUUAGUUGGAGUUUUGAAUGAGUUUGCAAAUGUAUGAAUUUGCCUCUGUCACAUGCUCUAUGUUACUCUACUAUCAAACAAUAUGUGUUGCCUAUAUUUUAGAAUAGAAACAGCGGAAGCUAAAGAUGGUAAUGUUUGCCACUCAACACAACAAGCAGUCUGAUAAGCAUUUUCCUCUGUAUUUCAAAUAGUCACCUACUCAGCCAAAAAGUACAGCCUUGUCCUUGAGGAGAAAAACUGGAUCGAAGCACAAGAGUACUGCAGCCAACACUACACAAACCUGUCCAUCAUACACAUAGAAGAGGAUUGGGAGGCAAUUCAACCCUCUUUGAGUAUUUUCAGUGGUGAUGUGUGGAUUGGGCUCCAUAGGUCUGGUCCAACUGAAAAGUGGAGGUGGUCUGAUGGAGAGGACUUCAUGUUCUUUAAAUGUGAAAAAGGUUUUGGCGGCCAUAACUGGGGUCAUGACUGUGUCUUGUCUAUUUCAUCUCACUGGAAACCAGUGGUGUGUGCAGCUCCAAGGUCCUGUGUGUGUCAAUGAGGUAAGGACAUACUGUCUUUAACUCACUCCCUCUGUCAUCAAUGGAAAAUCCAGCUUGUCAUUGAACAAAUGGGAUUGAUUGAUUGCACAACACCUUGUCAUGACUCUCACUCCUGGGUGAGGAUCAAAGAUAGCCCCCCCCCCCAGAGAGACAGUUGGCAAAAUCUUUAACAUUAAAAGAUUGAACAUUAAAACAAUAUUUCUAACGUAAAGAAUAUGGGAAAUGGUUGGUUGGGAUCCAAACAAUAAUCAUGUCAAAAGUGUAUUGUUUUGUGAGAUCAUUAAGAUCAUUAUUGAAGAAGGCUCAACCUACAUCCCAGAAACCCCCUCUCUACAGUUGGCUACUAUCUGCAUUGCUCUUUCCUCCCUUAAACUCCCUCCCGUUUACAGUCUAGACUCACUCUACUAGUAAUAGUCUUUAGAAUGAGCCAAAACAUAAUGGUAAGACCUGGUCGUAUAAGAUACAUCAAUGUCCUCUUAUCUUGUGUAUAAGAUGUUUUAACAGAUCUCCACUAGAGGGCUCUCCAUGGCACCCUGGACAGUCUGCACACAGACACCACACUGAUCUGCCAGAGACUACCACACUCAUGGUCUGGAAGGAACCUGCAUUUCAAUUCAUUAUAGUAUUAAGCCACUAUUAUUAUUCAUAUUAUUAUUAGUAGUACUUUUAUAAUAUUAGUUUUUUUAACUUUGAUAAUAUUAGUAAUAUUAUAAUAUAGUAAUAUUAUACUCUCUAUUAUAUGAUAUUACUUAAUGAUACUAUAUUUAUAUAUACUGACUCAUAAGCAUUGUUAUUUGACCUAUAAUUUACUGUAAUACUUUGAUUGUUUAAAAAUAGAGUAAAGAAAGGUAAAGUAAAAGUUAUUACCUGAAAAUGAUGUAUCUGACUGUGAUCUGUACUGUUUGAUAACACUAUUUAGAUAGAAUGUAAUUGUUGUUAUUUUGUACUUUCUGAAUAAACAUCCAUUUAGAGUUU